UCUAUGGAUGGCAGCAGGCGCGUAAACUGCCCAAUCCUCAUUGAGGGAGGCGGUGACGAGCAGUAUUGAGGCGCGGCCAUUCGGUCGCGCUUCUGAAAUGAAAGAUGCAUAGAACACACGACAGAAAGCGAGAAGAGGGCAAGUCUGGUGCCAGCAGCCGCGGUAAUUCCAGCUCUUCGAGCGUAUAUUAAAGUUGUUGCGUUUAAAACGCCCGUAGUUGGAUUUCUCGGGUGGCGAGGUCCGGCCUCAGUGCGGUGGGUUUCACAGUGCGAAUCUCCUUCGGUUGUGCUUCCUUCACUUUCUUGAGUUUUUCUCUUUUGUUCUUCCUUUAACGAGGUUGGAUGAACUUGGAGGGCGAGAGAAGGGGUUGGGUCAAUGGUGCUUCUGGGGGCCGUCUGUUUAACGGCUCGCCGUGUUGCAGCGUCCGGACGCCUUGGGUCUGUGCCGCCUUCGUGAGCUUUCGAAUUUAUUUUCGUCUGUGAGCGGGGAUGCGGCCCCCUUGGUCUUAUGCUUGCGCCCGGUGGUGCGGCCAAGAUAAGUUGUGGGUGGGGAAUUUAUUUCUCAUUCAUUUCCGUUUUCUUACCGCGCCAUGUUACCAUAAAGAAAUUGGAGUGUUUAAAGCAGGUCGAUUCGGCCCUUGCACAGUCCAGUAUGGAAUAAUAAAGCAGGACUUUCGUCCGUUUAUUGGCUUUCCGGACUGAAAAGUAAUGAUUAAUAGGGGCAGUUGGGGGCAUUAGUACUGGGGCGGGAGAGGUAAAAUUCUAUGAUCGCCCCAAGACUCACUAAAGCGAAAGCAUUUGCCAAGGAUGUUUUCAUUAAUCAAGGACGAUAGUUGGGGGAGAGAAGGAGAUCAGACACCUCCGUAUUCCCAACCAUAAACGAUGCCAUCUAGGGAUUGGGCGAGCCCAUAUUUCCUAGAACUCCCUCAGGACCUUUCGAGAAAUCAUAAGAAUUCAGGUUACGGGGGGAGUAUGGUCGCAAGGCAGAAACUUAAAGGAAUUGACGGAAGGGCACCACAAU
rnacentral:rRNA from 1 species